rnacentral:rRNA from 1 species
UGGGGAAUUUUGGACAAUGGGCGCAAGCCUGAUCCAGCCAUGCCGCGUGCAGGAUGAAGGCCUUCGGGUUGUAAACUGCUUUUGUACGGAACGAAAAGACUCUGGUUAACACCUGGGUUCCAUGACGGUACCUUAAGAAUAAGCACCGGCUAACUACGUGCCAGCAGCCGCGGUAAUACGUAGGGUGCGAGCGUUAAUCGGAAUUACUGGGCGUAAAUCGUGCGCAGGCGGUUAUAUAAGACAGAUGUGAAAUCCCCGGGCUCAACCUGGGACCUGCAUUUGUGACUGUAUAGCUAGAGUACGGUAGAGGGGGAUGGAAUUCCGCGUGUAGCAGUGAAAUGCGUAGAUAUGCGGAGGAACACCGAUGGCGAAGGCAAUCCCCUGGACCUGUACUGACGCUCAUGCACGAAAGCGUGGGGAGCAAACA